rnacentral:rRNA from 1 species
GUAGGGAAUCUUCCACAAUGGACGAAAGUCUGAUGGAGCAACGCCGCGUGAGUGAAGAAGGAUUUCGGUUCGUAAAACUCUGUUGCAAGGGAAGAACAAGUAGCGUAGUAACUGGCGCUACCUUGACGGUACCUUGUUAGAAAGCCACGGCUAACUACGUGCCAGCAGCCGCGGUAAUACGUAGGUGGCAAGCGUUGUCCGGAAUUAUUGGGCGUAAAGCGCGCGCAGGUGGUUCCUUAAGUCUGAUGUGAAAGCCCCUGGCUCAACCGGGGAGGGUCAUUGGAAACUGGGGAACUUGAGUGCAGAAGAGGAUAGUGGAAUUCCAAGUGUAGCGGUGAAAUGCGUAGAGAUUUGGAGGAACACCAGUGGCGAAGGCGACUGUCUGGUCUGUAACUGACACUGAGGCGCGAAAGCGUGGGGAGCAAACAGGAUUAGAAACCCUAGUAGUCC